GUGGGCUGACCCCAUAUGUACAGGGAGAUGCUGGGUGCGUUGAGUUCCAACCUGCCACGGUAUCAGCGUUCCCAGCAGCCUCGUGUCCUGCACGUAAGCUGUUAAGUGGCCAUCUGUGCGCUGAUAUAAAGAAUUGAACAAGACGUGGUCAAGUUCAGAGAAAGCCCGGGUGUCUCCAGAGACCAGCCAGCCUAUAUUUUUGGAACAGUCUUAGAUUGAAAGAAAAUUCGAGUAGCACAGAGUCCCCAUAACCGGGCACCAUUUUUCUAGCUGUUGACAUCUUACACCGCCACAGAUAUUUGGAGCUUUUCUAUGUAUCUUCUUUUUGCAUGUGUACGCAUGUGCAUCUGUGUGCAUUUGCCUGUGCGCACAGGUGCUGAAGAUGAUGUCGGAGUCUUGCUCGGAGUCACUCUCUGACAUCGUCCUGCCUUGCUCUGGGAUCACUCGCCCCUAUGACCUGAACUUGAGGACUACAGGACCCUGUUUCACCCUUGUUGACCACAAGAACCUGAAGCCGCAGCAAAGUUGGCAAAAGAGAAACAGUGUCUGCCAAGAAGACUCAGCUGUCAACGGCUAGGCUCACCCAAACAUCAAGAGAUGGACAAAUAUUUACAGUGUGAACCCUAACCCAAAGAACGGUGGUGUGGUCAUGCUGCACAGAGUCAACUUCAGAACCAAGACUGUGACCAGGGCUGGAGCGAGAGACGCUUCACGCUGAUAAAUAGGCCACUUAAUCAAGAAGCUGUCACAGCCCUAAAUAUGUAUGCACCGAGCAUUAGCACUUCCAAGUAGAGUAGAAUAGCUAAAGAUAGAGGCAAGAAGCAAGCAGACAAAUCUACGGUGAUUGUUGGAAAUCACAGCAUUUCUCUCGGCAAUUGUCAGGACACAGAAAAUCAGCGAGAAGAGGGAAGAGUCUCACAAUAGACCCCAUCAACUUGACCUAAUUGACAUUUAUGGGGCUUGACAUCCAACAGCCGUGGAGCUCACGUGCUCUUUAAGGCAGACCAUCAAACAAAACCAGGGAGACGAAAGUCACAGAAAGUAUGCUCUGUGAACAUGACAUAAUAAAGUGGAAAUCAAUAACAGAAA